CAUGGCUCAGGAUGAACGCUAGCGGGAGGCCUAACACAUGCAAGCCGAGCGGUAUUGUUCUUCGGAAAUGAGAGAGCGGCGUACGGGUGCGGAACACGUGUGCAACCUGCCUUUAUCUGGGGAUAGCCUUUCGAAAGGAAGAUUAAUACUCCAUAAUAUAUUGAACGGCAUCGUUUAAUAUUGAAAGCUCCGGCGGAUAGAGAUGGGCACGCGCAAGAUUAGCUAGUUGGUGAGGUAACGGCUCACCAAGGCAAUGAUCUUUAGGGGGCCUGAGAGGGUGAUCCCCCACACUGGUACUGAGACACGGACCAGACUCCUACGGGAGGCAGCAGUGAGGAAUAUUGGUCAAUGGGUGCAAGCCUGAACCAGCCAUCCCGCGUGAAGGACGACUGCCCUAUGGGUUGUAAACUUCUUUUGUAUAGGGAUAAACCUUUCCACGUGUGGAAAGCUGAAGGUACUAUACGAGUAAGCACCGGCUAACUCCGUG
rnacentral:rRNA from 1 species